rnacentral:lncRNA from 1 species
GGCCUGUCGCAAGCUGUUGAUUUUACCGGCUUGCGGCAAGUUGUCAACAAGUCGCGACAGGUCUGUUGGUUUCGUCAGGCGGUAACAGGCUUGCGGUAACAGGUCUGUCGCAAGCUGUUGACAACAGAGCCGUAGCGACUUGUUGAAACAACCCGCUACAAGCCUGUUACUAACAAGAGAUAACAGGUCUGAUAGAACAACUUGCAGCAAGUCUGUUGAAAUCAACAGGUUACAACCUGUUACAACAGACCUGUCGCGAGUUGUUUUUGUCAAGUCUGCAGCAAGCUUGUUAUCAGACCUGCGACAAACCUGUCCACAACAAACAAUUUUUGUCCUGUCACAACAAGUUUCAACAAGCCUGUUGUUGGGAAACAAACCGAAAAUGUGAGUAAAGAGAUAUAAAAUCGCACGAAAUGGACACUUCCGGCUUCACUUUCUCAUUUAAUCAUUGUCAUUGGUGGCAAUAUUAAAUCACAUAGGAGAGAUUAUAGUCCAUAGUAUCUAUUCUCUGAUUAUUAUAAAAUGCAAAAGCCGCUGUUUUAUUUUUUUU